rnacentral:ncRNA from 1 species
CUCUUCAGGGCAGGGUGAAAGUCCCGACCGGCGGUAAAGUCCGCGAGCCUCCUAUGGGCAGAAUCGUUGCAACUACGAUACCGACAGUAAAGUCUGGAUGAAAGAAGAA